rnacentral:tRNA from 1 species
GCUCACGUAGCUUAAGUCAAAGCAUGCCGCUGAAGACGGCAAGAUGGCUCUGAGAUUGACCCCGAGGGCA